AUUGAACGCUGGCGGCAUGCCUUACACAUGCAAGUCGAACGGCAGCGGGGACUUCGGUCCGCCGGCGAGUGGCGAACGGGUGAGUAAUGUAUCGGAACGUACCAUUCAGUGGGGGAUAACUAUCUGAAAGGAUAGCUAAUACCGCAUAUUCUGUGAGCAGGAAAGCAGGGGAUCGCAAGACCUUGCGCUGAUUGAGCGGCAGAUAUCAGAUUAGCUAGAUGGUGAGGUAACGGCUCACCAAGGCUACGAUCUGUAGCGGGUCUGAGAGGAUGAUCCGCCACACUGGGACUGAGACACGGCCCAGACUCCUACGGGAGGCAGCAGUGGGGAAUUUUGGACAAUGGGCGCAAGCCUGAUCCAGCCAUGCCGCGUGAGUGAAGAAGGCCUUCGGGUUGUAAAGCUCUUUCGGCCGGGAAGAAAUCGCAUCAGCUAAUACCUGGUGUGGAUGACGGUACCGGAAUAAGAAGCACCGGCUAACUACGUGCCAGCAGCCGCAGUAACAC
rnacentral:rRNA from 1 species